rnacentral:rRNA from 1 species
UACGUAGGGUGCGAGCGUUAAUCGGAAUUACUGGGCGUAAAGCGUGCGCAGGCGGUUCGCUAAGACCGAUGUGAAAUCCCCGGGCUUAACCUGGGAACUGCAUUGGUGACUGGCGGGCUAGAGUAUGGCAGAGGGGGGUAGAAUUCCACGUGUAGCAGUGAAAUGCGUAGAGAUGUGGAGGAAUACCGAUGGCGAAGGCAGCCCCCUGGGCCAAGAUUGACGCUCAUGCACGAAAGCGUGGGGAGCAAACAGG